rnacentral:misc_RNA from 1 species
GAAAUGCGAUAAGUAAUGUGAAUUGCAGAAUUCAGUGAAUCAUCGAAUCUUUGAACGCACAUUGCGCCCGCCAGUAUUCUGGCGGGCAUGCCUGUUCGAGCGUCAUUUCAACCAUCAAGCCCCCGGCUUGUGUUGGGGACCUGCGGCUGCCCGCAGGCCCUGAAGAACAGUGGCGGGCUCGCUGUCACACCGAGCGUAGUAGCAUACAUUCUCGCUCAGGGCGUGCUGCGGGUUCCGGCCGUUAAACGACCUUCAUAACCCAAGGUUGACCUCGGAUCAGGUAGGAAGACCCGCUGAACUUAAGC